AUUCUGUCAUGCCUUCCAAAUUGCUCUACGCAUUUAAAAACAAUUGUCAGCUUUGCAAAUAUUUCUAGCACUCAAAAGGAGGAAGCUGAAGGACUGGGGGUAUCUUGUUUUUCUUGGGAGGAAUUCU